rnacentral:rRNA from 1 species
AUUGAACGCUGGCGGCAGGCUUAACACAUGCAAGUCGAGCGAGCGGCGGACGGGUGAGGUAUGUCUGGGAAACUGCAUGAUGGAGGGGGAUAACUACUGGAAACGGUAGAUAAUACCGACUCCCGUCAGAUGUGCCCAGAUGGGAUUAGCUAGUAGGUGGGGUAAUGGCUCACCUAGUCGACGAUCCCUAGCUGGUCUGAGAGGAUGACCAGUAACACGGGAACGAGGACACGGUGCAGACUUCUACGGGAGGCAGCAGUGGGGAAGAUUGGACAAGCGGCAGAAGCGUAAUGCAGCCAUGGCGCGUGUGUCAAAAGGGCCUUCGGGGUGUAAAGCACUUUCAGUGAGGAGGCGUUACUCGCAGAAGAAGCACCGGCUAACUCCGUGCCAGCAGCCGCGGUAAUUC